UACGGAGGGUGCAAGCGUUAUCCGGAAUCACUGGGUUUAAAGGGUGCGUAGGCUGCUGCAUAAGUUAGAGGUGAAAGUUUGUCGCUUAACGAUAGAAUUGCCUUUGAUACUGUGCGGCUUGAAAUUAGGUGAGGUUGGCGGAAUGUGACAUGUAGCGGUGAAAUGCGUAGAUAUGUCAUAGAACACCGAUUGCGAAGGCAGCUGUCUAACCUAAAUUUGACGCUGAGGCUCGAAAGCGUGGGUAGCAAACAGG
rnacentral:rRNA from 1 species